AAUGCCCGCAAGGGUGAACCAGCCAUUCCGCGUGGAGGAUGAAGGCCCUAUGGGUUGUAAACUUCUUUUAGAUGGGAAGAAAAUGCUAGAUGUAUCUGGUACUGACGGUACCAUCAGAAUAAGCACCGGCUAACUCCGUGCCAGCAGCCGCGGUAAUACGGAGGGUGCGAGCGUUAUCCGGAAUUACUGGGUUUAAAGGGUGCGUAGGCGGAUGAUUAAGUCUAAGGUGAAAGUUUGUCGCUUAACGAUAAAAUUGCCUUGGAUACUGGUUAUCUUGAAUAAGGAUGAGGAUGGCGGAAUGUGGCAUGUAGCGGUGAAAUGCAUAGAUAUGCCAUAGAACACCAAUUGCGAAGGCAGCUAUCUGGUCUUUUAUUGACGCUGAGGCACGAAAGCGUGGGGAUCGAA
rnacentral:rRNA from 1 species